rnacentral:rRNA from 1 species
UAGGGAAUCUUCCACAAUGGACGCAAGUCUGAUGGAGCAACGCCGCGUGAGUGAAGAAGGCUUUCGGGUCGUAAAACUCUGUUGUUGGAGAAGAAUGGUCGGCAGAGUAACUGUUGUCGGCGUGACGGUAUCCAACCAGAAAGCCACGGCUAACUACGUGCCAGCAGCCGCGGUAAUACGUAGGUGGCAAGCGUUAUCCGGAUUUAUUGGGCGUAAAGCGAGCGCAGGCGGUUUUUUAAGUCUGAUGUGAAAGCCCUCGGCUUAACCGAGGAAGCGCAUCGGAAACUGGGAAACUUGAGUGCAGAAGAGGACAGUGGAACUCCAUGUGUAGCGGUGAAAUGCGUAGAUAUAUGGAAGAACACCAGUGGCGAAGGCGGCUGUCUGGUCUGUAACUGACGCU